AAAUGUAACAAGCAUUGGACCCGAAAUGAGGGAGCCCAGCUGGGGUCUUUGGGUGAAAAGUGUCCUCAACCUCUUCAAAAGCAGAGGUGCAAAUGGUCCCCAGGCAGCGAGGCAGGCAAGGCUUCUAGGUGAAGCCCCCGGCCCCCAGAGAGGGGAACCUCUUCCUGUGAUGGGUACACCGGGAUGUUUAACCACUGGUUUUCUGGGAACGAGAUGCAAACCCUGGCUCAGCAUAGGGCCAAAGACGCUGACAAGAGGAUUUCUCACUGUGAGAGAAGUGAGCCACCAGAUAGAGAGGACACUCAAACAGCCCCAUGCAGAGGCCAAUAUAGAAAGGAUAAAAUAGCCAGCAUCAACUUACCGGCUUUGUAAGAGAGCCUUUAUAACUGAAUCCACUGCCCCGGUCAAGCCUUCAGAUGACUGCAGCUCUAGCCUACAUCUGGCUGCAAUCUCAGGUGUUCAGAUCAAGGGAAACUACUCUAAGAGGCUACACUUGAGGAACAACAACCAAGGAGCUUCAACUGCAUCUGGAUUUCAGGAGUCUGGAAAACUUUUCUUUUGAGCUAUUGACAGCCUUUAACAACUGAGUAAAGUGUACUCCUGUGAACAAAAUUCAGAGCCUGUUUGUUUCUCUCUACCUGAUUUCUCCAGAAUUUGGAAACUAUUUGUGAGUAUUCUUAACUUAUGGAAACAUAGUUAUUUGCAUAAGUGCAAUAAGAAUCUGUUUUCAUUUGUAACAGGACACAAUUGGAAAAACUGGUUAUUUUACCAAGGCUUUUACUGGAAUGGUGUGCUUUCUUUUAAGGAAUCAAACUUGACUUAUAGAGCCAAUAAAAGCCCCUUGGAAACACUGGCCUUAUACAUUGUCUACACAGUCUCUGUGUAGGGUUCCUAACCUGUGAGUAAAGAAUGUCACUUUUUAACAGUCCCAGGAGCCCCCAAGUUAUCUUGGGACCUGAAUAGGAAAGGAAUUUACCCAAUAAUAGAUAUUUGAGUGUACAAACCCAUGGCUGGGCUCAGCUUCAGAAAAAAGUCUUAUCUGAGAUUCCUUAUAGAACAGAGUUCCAUCAAAGCCAAUUUAAAAAGCCUAUGUGAAAAAUAAUUAUUCUUGCUGCACUUUGUAUGAAUAAUCAGGCCAAGUAUAAUAAAGUAAAUCAGUCUUACAGUGAUUUGUCUUUAGUAAAAAUGGGAAACUGGAGAGAGAAAAAAAUUGUUUCAAGAACUAUGGUACAACUGUUACUAGAUUCUAGUCUCAUUCACUGUUUUUGAAUUUUUUUCUGCAAUUUAGACUGACUCUUCUUAUUUCUGUUAACCAACCAGUGAUCUCUGGCUGCUGCUCAGAAGAACUAAGAAGGAUGGGUAAUAUAAAAUCCAGAUCAAUAUUCUUAUUCUGGGCACAUAUUGGAAUCAGCUAACAACCCCAUAUCAGUUUGGUUCCAACAAUUGCCCAGUUCAUGGAAAGCCUCUAAUUUUGUUUAUUUGGGAUGAUUUUGCUUAUUUUGCUUUACUAUUGUGGAAUAUAUUGCUGUUGUACUCUUUGUGUAGGAAUGCAGGAUAUGCUUGCUGAAUGUUUUCUUAAAUUGAACCCUUAUUCCUCUUCCAGGUACCAUCUUUUGUUGGAACUCAGUUACAAAUAACCCUCACCAUACCAGCACUUUCUGAAUGAGCUCCUCUCUACCCUGAAGGCAAAAGACCCAAUAGUUAGGCUGGAAUAUUAUCACCCCUAUUCAGCCUGAAGAAGUUACAGAAAAUGGAUCUUCAUCUGUCUACAACCCUUAGGAUUAAGUGUUCUCUUAUAAUAGGGAGGGGGGAAUUGUCAGAGGCAUUUGAAUCAAAGCAACUCCAUUUCACACAGGGGCUAAGUGAAAUAAGGCUAAGACCUACUAGGCUGCAUUCCCAGGAGGUUAAGACAUUCUAAGUCACAGGAUGAGACAGGAGAGCGGCAUAAGAUGCAGGUCAGAAAGAUCUUGUGGAUAAAACAGGUUGCAGUAAAGAAGCCAGCCAAAACAUCAAAACCAAGAUGGCGACAAAAGUGACUUCUGGUCGUCUGCACUGCUACAUUCCCGCCAGCACCACGGCAGUUUACAAAUGCCAUGGCAAUGUCAGGAGGUUGCCCUACAUGUUCUAAAAUGGGGAGGAACCCUCAGUUCCAGGAAUUGCCCACCCCUUUCCUGGAAAACUCAUGAAUAAUCCACCCUUUGUUUAGCAUAUAAACAAGAAAUAACCAUAAAAAUGGGCAACUAGGUGUGCACCACUGCUCUUCUUAUGGAGUAGCCAUUCUUUCAUUCCUUUACUUUCAUAAUAAACUUGCUUUCACUUAAAAAAAAACUUGACCCUUACCUUAUGCCAUGUAUAAAAAUUAACUCACAAUGAAUCAGGAGGUAUUCCUUUUUCCUGACUGCCUUUGAACUGGGACAUCAUUUUUUUCCCUGUCUUCAGACUUGAACUGAAACAUCAGCUUUUCUUGAGUCUCAACCUGCUGUUCUUUGGACUAGAACUGCACCAUUGGCUCUCUUGGGUUUCCAGCUUAACAACUGUAGAUCUUGGAACUUGGCAGCUUUCAUAAAUACAUGAGUUAAUUUCUUAAAAUAAAUAUAUUCAUAUGUAUGUAUAUAAAAUAC